rnacentral:rRNA from 1 species
UACGUAGGAUGCGAGCGUUGUCCGGAAUUAUUGGGCGUAAAGCGAACGUAGGCGGCCUGGUAAGUUUGGUCUUAAAGACCGGGGCUCAACCCCGGGAAUGGACCGAAUACUGUCAGGCUGGAGUACGCUAGAGGAUGGUGGAAUUCCAAGUGUAGCGGUGAAAUGCGUAGAUAUUUGGAGGAACACCGGUGGCGAAAGCGGCUACCUGGACCAGCACUGACACUGAGGCACGAAAGCGUGGGGAGCAAACAGG